GACGGGGAGUUUUCGGAUCGCGGCGAAUGCCGGCGGUUCGCCGCCGGUGACGUUGUGAGAAGUUCAUUAAACCUUAUCAUUUAGAGGAAGGAGAAGUCGUAACAAGGUUUCCGUAGGUGAACCUGCGGAAGGAUCAUUGCACACACAAGUUGCAGCAAACCACGGCGAACGAACACGUUGUCCCCCCCCCUUCCGGUGGCCUCGGCCGCGGCGGCUAAACCCCGUCGCGUCCGUCGUCGCCGCGUCGGAAUACCGAAUGAUACCGAAUCACUUCGACCAAAUGACUUAGUCCCAUUUUGGACCCCUUAACUUCUAGUUAGGGGGCGAGAAAACGAGAAACAAAGAUGAACACAACUCUCAGCAACGGAUAUCUUGGCUCCUGCAACGAUGAAGAACGCAGCGAAAUGCGAUACCUAGUGUGAAUUGCAGAAUUCCGCGAAUCAUUGAGUCUUUGAACGCAAGUUGCGCCCGAGGCUCGACCGAGGGCAUUUCCGUUAGAGCGUCACCGCGCGCCCCCACCGAGCUCCCCAACCAAGGGAGGAGUUCGAGUGCAAUUGGCCGUCCCGAUUUGUUACCCUUUGUUGUGGAAUCGGAAUCGGGUCGGCCGAAGUACCUUGGCAGACUCCGUGGCGACACGGCCCACGAUCGGGUGAUCCGAGCCCUUCUAAAGGGGCUCGGAAUUUUUCUAAGUGUGAGGCCGCGCCGCCCCGUGUGUCCCGAAGGAGGAAAGUGUUACAUGUUAAGUGUUACAUUGAAGUGAGCAGUGAAGUGUUACCAGAGUUACGCACCAGACCUCUAAUCGGGAAAAGACUACCCGCUGAGUUUAAGCA
rnacentral:rRNA from 1 species